AUUAAGGUGGUACCUAACACUACAGGGAGAUAACUGUGUAUAGUCAGCUAAAUGUUUUAAUUACGUUGUGUUGUAAAAGGAAUAUUAAGCUUCUCAAUGAUCAAAAUUGGUGUUUGUCAAAUUGCUAUAUAACCAGUGUAAUUUUUCUGACAAAACGGUUGGUUCAAAAUUUUUGAAAUUUUUAUAUUUUUGUUAAAGGGUCAAAGUAAAUACUUUGACAAAAUUUCAUGAAAAUUAAACGAGCCAAAUUAAUUUUAGUGAAAGUGUUGGGUACCACCUUAAGGUCUGUCAGAU
rnacentral:lncRNA from 1 species